ACGCUCGACACCUACGGGGGGCAGCAGUGGGGAAUAUUGCACAAUGGGGGAAACCCUGAUGCAGCGACGCCGCGUGAGCGAAGAAGUAUUUCGGUAUGUAAAGCUCUAUCAGCAGGGAAGAAACUGACGGUACCUGACUAAGAAGCACCGGCUAAAUACGUGCAGCAGCCGCGGUAAUCUGAGCGGGCUGGCAAGGC
rnacentral:rRNA from 1 species